GAUGAACGCUAGCGGCAGGCCUAAUACAUGCAAGUCGGACGGGAUUCAGGAGCUUGCUUCUGAUGAGAGUGGCGCACGGGUGCGUAACACGUAUGUAACCUACCUUUAUCAGGGGGAUAGCCUCUCGAAAGAGAGAUUAAGCCCGCAUAAAAUCACAGCACAGCAUUGUGUAAUGAUCAAAUAUUUAUAGGAUAAAGAUGGGCAUGCGGAACAUUAGCUAGAUGGCGGGGUAACGGCCCACCAUGGCGACGAUGUUUGGGGGAUCUGAGAGGAUGGCCCCCCACACUGGUACUGAGACACGGACCAGACUCCUACGGGAGGCAGCAGUAAGGAAUAUUGGUCAAUGGGCGGAAGCCUGAACCAGCCAUGCCGCGUGCAGGAAGACGGCCCUACGGGUUGUAAACUGCUUUUAUACGGGAAUAAACCCAGAUACGUGUAUCUGGCUGAAUGUACUGUAAGAAUAAGGAUCGGCUAACUCCGUG
rnacentral:rRNA from 1 species